UUUCUACUCCCUCCGUCCCAAAAUACUUGUCAUCAAAAUGGAUAAAAAGAGAUGUAUCUAAAACUAAAAUACGUCUAGAUACAUUUCCUUUUAUCCAUUUUGAUGACAAGUAUUUCUGGACGGAGGGAGUAUUUG
rnacentral:pre_miRNA from 1 species